AACGAACGCUGGCGGCGUGCUUAACACAUGCAAGUCGAACGGAGAGGCGAACGGGGGAGUAACACGUGGGUGACCUGCCCUGCACUUCGGGAUAAGCAUGGGAAACUGGGUCUAAUACCGGAUAGUGUGGGAUGGGCCCGCGGCCUAUCCGCUUGUUGGUGGGGUAAUGUCCUACCAAUGCGGCGACGGGGAGCCGGCCGGAGAGGGUGGACGUCCACAUUGGGACUGAGACACGGCCCAGACUCCUACGGGAGGCAGCAGUGGGGAAUAUUGCACGAUGGGCGGAAGCCUGAUGCAGCGACGCCGCGUGGGGGAUGACGGCCUUCGGGUUGUAAACUCCUUUCACCAUCGACGCGGUAGAUGGAGAAGAAGCACCGGCUAACUACGUGCCAGCCGCCGCGGUAAUAC
rnacentral:rRNA from 1 species